UACGUAGGGGGCAAGCGUUGUCCGGAUUUAUUGGGCGUAAAGAGCGUGUAGGCGGCCAGGUAGGUCAGCUGUGAAAACUCGAGGCUCAACCUCGAGACGCCGGUUGAAACCAUCUGGCUAGAGUCCGGAAGAGGAGAGUGGAAUUCCUGGUGUAGCGGUGAAAUGCGCAGAUAUCGGGAAGAACACCCGUGGCGAAGGCGGUUCUCUGGGACGGUACUGACGCUGAGACGCGAAAGCGUGGGGAGCGAACAGG
rnacentral:rRNA from 1 species